rnacentral:rRNA from 1 species
UACGUAGGUGGCAAGCGUUGUCCGGAUUUACUGGGCGUAAAGCGUGCGUAGGCGGUUCGUUAAGUCUGUUGUGAAAGCCCCGGGCUCAACCUGGGAAUGGCAAUGGAUACUGGCGAGCUAGAGUGUGUCAGAGGAUGGUGGAAUUCCCGGUGUAGCGGUGAAAUGCGUAGAGAUCGGGAGGAGCACCAGUGGCGAAGGCGGCUACCUGGACCAGCACUGACACUGAAGCACGAAAGCGUGGGGGAGCAAACAGG